CAACAGGGAUUGCCUCAGUAACGGCGAGUGAAGCGGCAACAGCUCAAAUUUGAAAUCUGGCCCUCUCAGGGUCCGAGUUGUAAUUUGUAGAGGGUGCUUUGGCGUUGGCUGUGGUCUAAGUUCCUUGGAACAGGACGUCACAGAGGGUGAGAAUCCCGUACGUGGCCGCCAGUCUUCGCCGUGUAAAGCCCCUUCGACGAGUCGAGUUGUUUGGGAAUGCAGCUCUAAAUGGGAGGUAAAUUCCUUCUAAAGCUAAAUAUUGGCCAGAGACCGAUAGCGCACAAGUAGAGUGAUCGAAAGAUGAAAAGCACUUUGGAAAGAGAGUCAAAAAGCACGUGAAAUUGUUGAAAGGGAAGCGCUUGCAGCCAGACUUGCCUGUAGUUGCUCACCUUGGCUUCUGCCUUGGGUACUCUUCUACGGGCAGGCCAGCAUCAGUCCGGGCGGUUGGAUAAAUGCCUUCUCAAUGUACCUCUCUUCGGGGAGGACUUAUAGGGGUUGGCGUCAUACAACCAGCCUGGACUGAGGUCCGCGCAUCUGCUAGGAUGCUGGCGUAAUGGCUGUAAGCGGCCCGUCUUGAAACACGGACCAAGGAGUCUAACAUCUAUGCGAGUGUUUGGGUGUAAAGCCCGAGCGCGGAAUGAAAGUGAACGGAGGUGGGAACCCCUUGGGGUGCACCAUCGACCGAUCCUGAAGUUUACGGAUGGAUUUGAGUAUGAGCAUAGCUGUUGGGACCCGAAAGAUGGUGAACUAUGCCUGAAUAGGGUGAAGCCAGAGGAAACUCUGGUGGAGGCUCGCAGCGGUUCUGACGUGCAAAUCGAUCGUCAAAUUUGGGCAUAGGGGCGAAAGACUAAUCGAACCAUCUAGUAGCUGGUUCCUGCCG
rnacentral:rRNA from 1 species